rnacentral:lncRNA from 1 species
UGUGACUUCUGUUUAGUUCUUUUGCUGUGCUCAGCAGGAAAGCACAGCUGAUUCAGAACAGGCUAUGGAUGCUUGGUCACAUUAAGUAACGCCCUCUCCCUUCUUGUUUUUCAUACGCUAUAUUGACCAGUAUUCUGUUCAAGAAGUAGUUAUUAUUUUUCUUUCUAGUUUAGAAUGUACAUUGCAUAUAUUAAAUAUGAUAUAAGGGAUAUUGCAAUAAUUUCUAGUUCUUUGAUUUUAUGAAAUUUUAGGUAUAAAAUUAAAAAAUAAAAAGCAGUGGAGAUUUUUCUCUUGUGUGUCCAUCCUCAUAAGAGAGGAGAUUCUAUUUUGUUUACAUCUGUUCAGAAAAUUGUGCUUUAAAUAGAUUUAUAGACACAUGAGGUCCAGUGAACAGGCUCUAGAUACCUGUGCUUGAAUACAGAAUGAGUGAGUGCUAAAGAGCUGGGCAACUACACACCACCAUUCCUACUCCUUGCUUUGUGAAUGGAUUGCCUUAUGUCUGUAAGUCUCUUCUCAGCUCUUCAAACCUCAGGGAAACUUAAGAAAAUGUAGUUUCUAGGAUGAGAAGCAUAUACACAUGCAGAGACACAUGCACAAACCAAAAAAAAAGAAUCCAUAAAAACACAUAAUUCAAAACCAUCAUAUACAAGAAAGAAAACAAUGGCCAGAUAGAGCAUCAUGAGAGAAGAACAAUCUCUAAAAAUACUUUUGAGUUUAUUUGUGUUUGCCAUCUGUUUCUGGGCAUGAGGUUGUCUUCAAGUGUGGUUUGUAUACACCGUCAAACUUUGUUGGACAAAGCUCAACUUUCCUUUAUGAGACAUUGUCAAUUGGAGACCUCUUGUUUAGGUAUGAGGACCUUGCCCAUUUCCUCCUAUCAGAAAUGAAGCUCUGUGUGUAUUAGGUCUGUGCACACCUUGUACAUGUUGUCACUACUUCUAUGAGUUCACAUGUAAAUCAGUCCUAUUGGUUCUAAAAGGCAUUAUUUCCUUACUGCCUUCCAUGACCACUGGCUCUUACAAUCUUUCUGCUUUCUCUUCUAUAAAAUUACUUGGGUCUUGAGGGAAGGAGUUCAAUGGAAACAUUCCAUUUAGCACUAGGUGUUCCAAAGUCUCUCAUUUUCUGUACAUUUUCCAGUUGUGAAGUUGUAGGUCUCUCUGUUCCUGUCUACUUCGAGGGGAUGCUUCCCUAAUGAUGUCUGAACAAGACAUUGAUCUAUGGCUAUAGCACAAAGUCAUUAGAAAUCAUUAUAUUGAUACAUUUCUUUAGAAGAACCAUAUUUGGUUUUCCCCUAGGUCAUAACCUAUCUAGUCUCAGGUUUUUGACCACCAAAAGAAGUACCAGGCAUAGGUUCCUUCUCAUGGAGUGGGUCUUAAUUCCAUUCAGAGAUAGUCCAAUAUCAUUUGUGACAUUUUUGCACUAGUGUAUCGUUUAGGCAGAUCACCAUUGUAGAUCAAAGUAUUAGAGCUAUGUUUGUGCUUAUCUCUCUCCUCUAGUAAUGCUCAGAGUACCUUCUUCUAUAUGAACACCAGUCCAUAGGAGUGAAAACUCCAUUUAGGCAACAGCUUGACGUCUCCAUUUUUAACGGGAUGUAUAAGUAUUGUCUUCAACAACAGCAUACUACCAUCAGUUUGUGGAGAGCAAUGAAUAGCCUUGAAAACUAGGAAAUUCUCUGAGUUAUUUGAUUAUAUCCAUGAGCACCUUGACCAACAACUCAGAUAAUACCUAUUCUUGGAACUGGUGGUUUCAUUUGUUGAUAAGAGAGGCUAAUUUGGUGCUUUGUCUCCCUGUUAUUUGAUUCCAUUUACACUCACAUGCACACACACACACACACACACACACACACACGUAUGUAUAUAUUAAGAAGCUAGUUCUGUAGUAGAUUCCAUAUGAUCUCUCAGUUGGAGCUUAGUUUAUUUCCCUAUAUUCCCUCCCUUAUCUUCUCACCCCUCCUACCUUCUGUUUAACUCUCCUGUUCCACUCUCAUCCUGUCUCUUUUACGAUUUAUUCUAUGUUUCCCCAUUCAACAAAAUUUCCCUCAACCCUAGUUCACUAACUUAUUCUGAACUUCUGUAGGUGUAAAGAUUGUGGGAAGCCUAUUGAAGAUUUAAAAGCUAAUAUCUCCAUUUAAGAGAAUACAUACUAUAUUUGUUUUGGGGGGUCUGGGUUACCUCACUAAGGAUGAUUUUUUUUUACUUCCAUCUAUUUACUUGUAAAUUUCAUUGCUUAAUAGUUGAGUGAUAUUUCAUUGUGUAUAUGUACCACAUUUUCAUUACCUAUCCUGGGAUCUAGGGUAGGUUAUUAUAUACAUUUUUCAUUCACAUGGGUAGAGUUUAUACAAGCUAUUUUAUUAUUUUUGAGACAGUUGUUAUAUGAGUUGUUUCCCUGAUUUUUUCUUAAUGUGUUUGUCAUUACUGUUUGGAAGUCUACUGAGUUUUGCAUGUUACUUUUAUAGCUUGCUGCUUUGAUAAAAGUGUUAUCAGCUGUAGGAGUUUCUGGUUGAGUCUUUAUCAUAUAAAAUCAAAUCAUCUUCAAAUAAAGAUACUUUGACUUCCUUUU